AACGAACGUUAGCGGCGCGCCUAACACAUGCAAGUCGAGCGAGAAAGGGCUUCGGCCCCGGUAAAGCGGCGCACGGGUGAGUAACACGUGGGUAACCUGCCCUCGAGUUGGGGAUAACAUUCCGAAAGGAGUGCUAAUACCGAAUAAGACCACGACCUCGCAAGAGGACGCGGUCAAAGCUGGCCUCUAUACAUAAGCUAGCGCUUGAGGAUGGGCUCGCGGCGCAUCAUGGUAGUUGGUGAGGUAACGGCUCACCAAAGCCGAAGACGCGUAGCUGGUCUGAGAGGAUGAUCAGCCACACUGGAACUGAGACACGGUCCAGACUCCUACGGAGGCAGCAUGGGGAAUCUUGCGCAAUGGGCGAAAGCCUGACGCAGCGACGCCGCGUGAGUGAUGAAGGCCUUCGGUUGUAAAGCUACUGUGGGAGGAGAGGAAUAAGUAG
rnacentral:rRNA from 1 species